GCCCGGCUAGCUCAAUCGGUAGAGCAUGAGACUCUUAUGAAGAUCCUUCAGAUUCUCACGAGAUUCAUCUCAAGGUUGUGGGUUCGACCCCCACGUCGGGCU